rnacentral:misc_RNA from 1 species
UCUCCGUUGGUGAACCAGCGGAGGGAUCAUUACAGAGAAUCUUCUCUUAAAACCCUGUGAACCUACCUUUGUUGCCUCGGGGGGCCGCCCGGGAGUGUCGCGUUCUGCGCGCUCGCCCGGGAGCCACGGCGCCCCGGUGGCCCAAAAAACUCUUGUUUUGUAUGGCCUAUCAGAAAUACUAUCUAAUAGUUAAAACUUUCAGCAACGGAUCUCUUGGUUCUGGCAUCGAUGAAGAACGCAGC